UUCCGUAGGUGAACCUGCGGAAGGAUCAUUACCUUUUCUGCCUUCGGGCAGCGGGGGGCUGUAGUUUUCUAUGGCCUCUGUCUGAAUCCGUGUCUUUUGCGUACUACAUGUUUCCUCGGCGGGCUUGCCCGCCGAUCGGACCACAUCAAACUCUUUGGAAUUGCAGUCAGCGUCUGAAAACAAAAUAAUAAUUACAACUUUCAACAACGGAUCUCUUGGUUCUGGCAUCGAUGAAGAACGCAGCGAAAUGCGAUAAGUAGUGUGAAUUGCAGAAUUCAGUGAAUCAUCGAAUCUUUGAACGCACAUUGCGCCCCUUGGUAUUCCAUGGGGCAUGCCUGUUCGAGCGUCAUUUGUACCCUCAAGCUCUGCUUGGUGUUGGGUGUUUGUCCUUUCCUUUGCGACUGGACUCGCAUUAAAGCAAUUGGCAGCGCAUAUCAAGGCCCGGAGGAGCAGCACAUUAAGCGGAGGAGCACAUCAAUAAGCGGAGGAGCAUAUCAAUAAGCG
rnacentral:rRNA from 1 species